ensembl:snRNA RNU6-1108P RNA, U6 small nuclear 1108, pseudogene
GUGCUUGCUUCGGCAGCACACAUACUAAAAUUGGAACAAUACAGAGAUUAGCAUGGCCCCUGUGCAAAGACGACAAGCAAAUUCGUGAAGCAUUCCAUACGUGU